UACGGAGGGUGCGAGCGUUGUCCGGAAUCACUGGGCGUAAAGGGCGCGUAGGCGGCCCGAUAAGUAGGGGGUGAAAUCCUGCGGCUUAACCGCAGGGCUGCCUUCUAAACUGUCGGGCUAGAGCACGGUAGAGGCAGAUGGAAUUCCCGGUGUAGCGGUGGAAUGCGUAGAGAUCGGGAAGAACAUCAGUGGCGAAGGCGGUCUGCUGGGCCGUCGCUGACGCUGAUGCGCGACAGCGUGGGGAGCAAACAGG
rnacentral:rRNA from 1 species